UACGUAGGGUGCAAGCGUUAAUCGGAAUUACUGGGCGUAAAGCGUGCGCAGGCGGUGAUGUAAGACAGAUGUGAAAUCCCCGGCUUAACCUGGGAACUGCAUUUGUGACUGCAUCGCUGGAGUGCGGCAGAGGGGGAUGGAAUUCCGCGUGUAGCAGUGAAAUGCGUAGAUAUGCGGAGGAACACCGAUGGCGAAGGCAAUCCCCUGGGCCUGCACUGACGCUCAUGCACGAAAGCGUGGGGAGCAAACAGG
rnacentral:rRNA from 1 species